rnacentral:rRNA from 1 species
CCUACGGGGGGCAGCAGUGAGGAAUAUUGGUCAAUGGGCGCGAGCCUGAACCAGCCAAGCCGCGUGAGGGAAGACGGCCCUACGGGUUGUAAACCUCUUUUGCCGGGGAGCAACGGGCGCCACGUGUGGCGCCACUGAGAGUACCCGGAGAAAAAGCAUGGGCUAACUCGGUGCCAGCAGCCGCGGUAUUACGGAGGAUGCGAGCGUUAUCCGGAUUUAUUGGGUUUAAAGGGUGCGUAGGUGGUUAAUUAAGUCAGCGGUGAAAGUUUGUGGCUCAACCAUAAAAUUGCCGUUAGAACUGGUUGACUUGAGUAUAGUUGAGGUAGGCGGAAUGCGUGGUGUAGCGGUGAAAUGCAUAGAGAUCACGCAGAACUCCGAUUGCGAAGGCAGCUUACUAAACUAUAACUGACACUGAGGCACGAAAGCGUGGGGAGCAAACAGGAUUAGAUACCCGUGUAGUC